UACAGAGGUCUCAAGCGUUGUUCGGAUUCAUUGGGCGUAAAGGGUGCGUAGGCGGCGCGGUAGGUCGGGUGUGAAAUCUCGGAGCUUAACUCCGAAACUGCAUUCGAUACUGCCGUGCUUGAGGACUGGAGAGGAGACUGGAAUUCAUGGUGUAGCAGUGAAAUGCGUAGAUAUCGUGAGGAAGACCAGUGGCGAAGGCGGGUCUCUGGACAGUUCCUGACGCUGAGGCGCGAAGGCCAGGGGAGCAAACGGG
rnacentral:rRNA from 1 species